rnacentral:tRNA from 1 species
UUUAAAGUAAGCAACUAACUGCUUUAUUUUCAGUGUAAAUGAAAUACAUUCAUAUAUGUUAUACCCUAA